GAGCCGAGCGAGACCGAGCGCAGUCGAAGGUGCCGAACUCCAACGUCGAAGCACGCUCGAGGACGCUCCGCGAUUUUUACGUUAUUUAUCCGCCGCAAGGAGGACAAAGAUGAGUCUCGCGUAAAUUAGCAUCGAAAUAGUACAGCACGCAGAGUAAUUUAAACGUGGUAUCUCUCGUUGAAUUUAAUGCUUGUCGGGAGUGCGUAUCGCGCAUCGUGAAUCUUGAAUGUCAGGAAUGCCGUUGGAAUUUCAUUAAACUGCGUGACGGCAUUUAUCUCGCGAUAUUCGCCAAACGCGUCGUAGAAUGUCGUGAAAAUGUCGCGAUUGUGUAAUGUCGAAUUUUCUCUCGCGAAGGUGUAGUGCCGUAUAUAACGGGAAAUCCGUUAUCGGAUUUGGAUUGCCGAGUAAAGUAUCGCGCGAUAAUCGUGUCGUGUUAAUUGUUGUGCGCGGUAAUUAGUUGUACUUUUAUUCGAACAUGUAUGAAGGUUCAUCGUGGAUUCGAAACUGCACAGUCCCGACAAGAUGACAUCUACAAAGGGAUAUUAAGGCUGACAAUCACGGUUGGAGCUGCUGUAAACCGAUGGUCGUGA